CUCACUGCAGCCUUGACUUUCCCACCUGUGUUCAGGUGAUUCUCCCACCUCAGCCUCCCAAGUGGCUGGGACUGCAGACACACACCACCAUGACCAGUUAUUUUUUCUAUUUUUGUAGAGUCGGGUGUCUCACUAUGUUGCCCAGCCUGGUCUCAAAUCCCUGGGCCCAAGUAAUCCUCCUGCCUCAUACAUCUCAAAGUGCUGGGGUUACAGAUAUGAGCCACUACGCUUGGCCUUGUACUGCUUCUUGGUAAGCAAAAUGAAAUCGAAGUUUUACAUGCCAAGCUCUGGAGGGGGAUUUUUACGCUGGCAUAAUCCCAUCCCCUCUGUUCUGUAAACACUCCCAGGAGGCUGUCCCGCUCCAGGAAUGUCUGCAAAAUAUGAUGAUAAGAAUAAUUGAAGUAUGUAAUAAUGUUUGCACUGUUCAAGAAAAAAAAACAGGACGCGGGUUUGAAUGGAAUAACUGAACGUUACGUGGUUGAUUUUCAGGUAGUGUCUGCUCAUUUCAUCACAUUGGCGUGGUGUCUACCAAUUCCCUAACACAACUUCUAAACCCACUUUUCCACCCUUAAGAGCCUUUCUUCGAGGCCAAUGCCAUUUUGCAGUCCUAUCCCUUCCACCCUCCACUGCUGUUAACUGCCAAUUUCCUGGAUGCUGCCCUUCGUUGACUACAGUCAGGGGUUCCAGAAUCCCUCCUUGCCUCCCAUAGAGGGGUCCCUGUGCCGCCACAAUCGCUCAUCUCCACGUCAUGGGUGUUGUCCUUCCAACACACACUGACUCCUCUAUUUCAACAUUUCCGGAGCCUGCGCUGCCUCUCCACGCCUGCUGAGCUGCUUCAUGUGGGUCCCACCAUUUCCCGACUGGGUUACUGUAAGGCUUCCUCGCAUGUCAUUUCCUCCAGUGCAACUUCCCUGCAAUCCGUGCCCCCAGAAUGCGGAGGCGCCUUGCUGUGGGGAGGCGCUGUGAGGAGGCGCUGAGUACUGGUGAGACACUGAACUGUGAGGAGGUGCUGUGCUGUGAGGAGAUGCUGAACUGUGAGGAGGUGCUGAGCUGUGAGGAGAUGCUGAACUGUGAGGAG
rnacentral:lncRNA from 1 species